UAUUUAUGGUUUCGGAACUGAAUGUCAAUGUCAUCUGUCAUUCAUGUUUGAUUUUUUUACAAUAAAAAUGUGUUGUUAAUUUCUGAGAGUUUUCAAUAUUAAAACAUGGCGCAGCCGUUGUGAAACGAUCCUAAAGUGUGAUUGGAUGCGAAAAUAUUGUUUUCUACUGAAAGUGUCCUGUUAAAUAUCAUGGAGUCGUCGUCGGCGUCAGUGACAUUGCCUCCAAAUUUCGACAUUCGCUCUUCGCAAUCAGCUAAUGAUUGGAACUAUUGGAAAUGUUUGUUCGAGGACUAUCUGAUAGCAACUAAUCAAGAUGGAGCUUCAGACAAAAUUAAACUGUCAUUGUUGCGAAACAUGAUGGGUCCGGAGUCUACCAAAGUCAUCCUAACCUUUAAAUUAUCGGACGAGGAGAGACGAAGUUACGACAAAAUUGUGUCUGAAAUCGACAAAUAUGUGAAUCCCAAAAGUAAUCCGGUAUUUGAGCGAUUUAAAUUCAAUGAAAGAAAACAGGAAGUUGGAGAAUCAUUUGAAUCAUUUUAUACUAGCCUGAGGGAAUUAAUAGGCAAGUGUGGAUAUAAUGACAAAUGUUUAGAAUCUACAGAAGAUCAAUUAUUGCGAGAUAGGAUUGUACAAGGGAUCCAGGAUCACAGCCUACAGGAAAGUAUGUUAAGAUGUGAGGACUUGACGUUGGAUAAAGCUGCAAACAUGUGCCGAACAAGUGAAAUGAGCAAACUACAAGUAAAGGAAAUGAACCCCACCUUACUAGUGGAUACAAUAAAAUCCAGAAAAGUAAGGGACCAACAAGGUGUAAAAUAUAAGGAGUUUAGCUGCAGACGCUGCCAGACAAGACAUGGACCACGUGCAUGCCCUGCUUUUGGAAAAAAAUGUAACAAAUGUGGGCUGGAGAACCAUUUUGCAGCCAGUUGCAGAGUUAAGAAAAAGGUACAGGAAGUCAAAUGUGAGGAGUCUGAUUCGGAUGAAGGUGCGUAUUGUAGAGCUGUUCAGUCAAAAUGUGGUGAAAAGAAGGCCUGGUCUGAAAAUAUAGAAAUUGAGGGACAUAGUGUUCAAUGUAAGCUGGACUCGGGAGCAGAUAUAUGUUCCUGAGAUGGCCAGUCUGAUGUCACCUUUAUGCAAAUUAUUGAAAAAGGAUUGUGAAUUCAUAUGGUUACCUAAUCACAAGAAAGCUUUUGAAGAACUUAAGUUAAAAGUAAGUAGUGCCCCUGCUCUUUGUCCAUUUGAACCUAAUAAAAAAAUAAUUUUACAAUGUGAUGCUUCUAAAGAUGGCCUCGGAUGCUGCUUAUUCCAAAGUGAUAAAGAUGUAUUAAAACUAGUAGCAUGUGCCUCAAGAUCAAUGAACCAAUCAGAAGUUAACUAUAGUCAAACGGAGAAAGAGCUAUUAGCUAUUACAUUUGCUGUAAAAAAGUUUCAUAGAUACAUAUAUGGCCUAAAUGUAGAUGUACAAACAGAUCACAAACCAAUUGUUUCAAUUAUGUCUAAAUAUAUUUCCAAAAUUGGAUCCCCUAGAUUAAAGAGGUUGCGAUUAAAGUUGUUAAAUUACAAUUUAAAUGUUUAUUAUGUUCCAGGUAAAUUUAUACAUUUUGCAGAUAUGUUAUCUAGAAAUAAUUUAAGUGUUACUGAACAUGAUAAAGAAAUGUUGCAAAUUGUGCACUCUGUGUCCAUACACUUGCCCAUGUCGCCUGAAAGAAAAUUAUUGUUUAGAAAAGAAACUAAUAAUGAUGAAACACUUUCAUUACUAUGUAAAUAUUAUCAUGAGGGAUGGCCAGAGGAAAACAAAGUUCCUGCUGAUUGUCAACCAUACUAUAAAUUGAGGAAUAGCAUAUACUUUCAAUCAGGGUUUGCGUUUCUUGAGGACAAAAUCAUUGUACCUAAAAAUCUCAGAUCUGAUGUAGUAAAAUUAAUACAUGAAGGCCAUAUUGGUAUUGGAAAAUGCUUGAACAGGAGUAGGAAACUGUUUUAUUGGCCAAAAAUGUCCCAAGAAAUAUAUCAAUAUGUUAUGCAAUGUCACACAUGUGAAAAGUUUAGAUCUAGAAAUUGUCAUGAACCAUUGUUACCACACAAAAUACCUAAAUUAAGAUUUAGUAAAAUAGGUGCUGAUAUAUUGGAAUUUGCUAAGAAACCUUAUCUUGUUGUUGUCGACUAUUUUUCACACUGGCUUGAACUUAUUCCUUUGCCUGACAAGUCAGCAAAAUCUGUAAUAUCAGGAUUCAUUGAAAUUUUUUCUCGAUUUGGUUUUCCUGUUGAAAUUGUGUCUGACAAUAAUCCGUUUAACUCAAAAGAAUGUUUAGAUUAUUUUAAAAGUAAGGACAUAUGUUUAACUACAAGUAGUCCUCAUUAUCCUAGAAGCAAUGGUAUGGCUGAAAAAGCAGUAGACAGUAGCAAGAAUAUCUUAAAGAAAGCUGCAGAGGAUAGUGUGGACUAUAGAGAAUAUGUAAUGUCAUAUAACAAUGCACCUUUGGCUGGAAUGGUAGUAUCUCCAUCACAAAUAUUAAAUAGUCGAACCAUGAGAACACUUGUACCAAUUACUGAAAAAGCAUUGGAGCCUGUUGUUAUUAAAAAUAUACACAAAUUGUUAAUCUUGAAGCAGUCUAUAAAUAAAUCUAAAUUUGAUAGGUCAGUCAGAAAAAAAGAGGUUAAAUUUAAUAUUGGUGAUGAAGUGGUAUAUCGUACAGGAAAGGAUGAAUAUUGGAAAAAGGGUAAAAUUGUAAAGAAAUGUAAAGAGCCUAGGUCAUACUGGGUGGAAAGAGAUGGGAGCUUUCCAAUCCGUAGAACUACAAAUCAUUUAAAAAAAUCUUUUUCAAACACUAAGCAAUUUAAGACAAGUUAUUAUAAUGAUGAUUCCAGGGCUACAGAAGACAAUACUACACUGAAUUCUGAUCCAAUGAUUUCAUCCCCUGCUCGGGUAUCUCCACCAAGAGAUGUUGUCUAUGAUAAUAAUUAUUGUACUAGAAGUGGCAGGGUAGUAAAACCACCUAACCGAUUAGAUUUGUAAUUUCGGGGGGAAGGUGUUUUAUUUAUGGUUUCGGAACUGAAUGUCAAUGUCAUCUGUCAUUCAUGUUUGAUUUUUUUACAAUAAAAAUGUGUUGUUAAUU